GGUAAAUCUCGUGCCAGCCACCGCGGUCACACAAGAAGCCCAAAUCAAUAGCCAUCCGGCGUAAAGAGUGGCCACAUGUUAUCUUCAUUAACUAAGAUCAAAAUGGAACCAAGCUGUCAUAAGCCCAGGAUCCACCUAAGCCCAACAUAAAAACCAUCUUAGCCACAUGAUCAAUUUCAAUCCACGAAAGCCAGGGCACAAACUGGGAUUAGAUACCCCACUAUGCCUAGCCCUAAAUCUAGAUACCCACAUACUUAUGUAUCCGCCUGAGAACUACGAGCACAAACGCUUAAAACUCUAAGGACUUGGCGGUGCCCCAAACCCACCUAGAGGAGCCUGUUCUAUAACCGAUAAUCCACGAUCUACCCAACCACCCCUUGCCAACACAGCCUACAUACCGCCGUCGCCAGCCCACCUUAAUGAAAGAACAACAGUGAGCUCAAUAGCCGCCACUAAUAAGACAGGUCAAGGUAUAGCCUAUGGGAUGGAAGAAAUGGGCUACAUUUUCUAAAAUAGAACAAACGAAAAAGGACAUGAAACCUGGUCCUUGGAAGGAGGAUUUAGCAGUAAAAUGGGAUCACUUUGCCCACUUUAAGAUGGCCCUGAGGCACGUACAUACCGCCCGUCACCCUCUUCAAAAGCUACUAAUACCGAUAAAUAACACCCAACCAUUAAGCCAAAGACGAGGUAAGUCGUAACAAGGUAAGCAUACUGGA
rnacentral:rRNA from 1 species